AACGAACGCUAGCGGCGCGCCUAACGCAUGCAAGUCGCACGAGGAAGUGGGGGCAACUCCAUUAGUAGAGUGGCGCACGGGUGAGUAACGCGUGGGUAAUCUACCUUCAAGACUGGAAUAACCAGCCGAAAGGCUGGCUAAUACCGGAUAAGACCACAGGGCUACGGCCUGGGGGUUAAAGGCGGGGAUCCUUCGGGGCCUGUCACUUGGAGAUGAGCCCGCGUCCCACCAGCUAGUUGGUAGGGUAACGGCCUACCAAGGCUAAGACGGGUAGCUGGUCUGAGAGGACGAUCAGCCACACUGGCACUGGAACACGGGCCAGACUCCUACGGGAGGCAGCAGUGGGGAAUUUUGCGCAAUGGGCGAAAGCCUGACGCAGCGACGCCGCGUGAGGGAAGAAGGUUCUCGGAUCGUAAACCUCUGUCGGGGGGGGAAGAAACUAUCGGCGAUUAAUACUCGUCGGUAUUGACGGUACCCCCUAAGGAAGCAUCGGCUAACUACGUGCCAGCAGCCGCGGUAAGAC
rnacentral:rRNA from 1 species